CCCAUAGGGACACAGUGAGACCCAUAGGGACCCACAGAGACCCUAUAGUGACCCCAAAGACCUCACACCCCAUAGAGACCUCAUAGAGACCCCAUAGGGACCCCAUAGAGACUCCAUAGGGACCCCAUAGAGACCACAAAACCCUCAGACCCCAUAGAGACCCCAUAGAGACCCCAUAGUGACCCCCAAUCCCUCAGGCCCCAUAGAGACCCCAUAGAGACCCCAAAACCCUCAGACCCCAUAGAGACCCCAUAGAGACCCCAAAAACUUCAGACCCCAUAGAGACCCCAUAGUGCCCCCCAAAGCCCUCAGACUCCAUAGAGACCCCAUAGAGACCCCCAAGCCCUCAGACCCCAUAGAGACCCCAUAGAGACCCCCAAGCCCUCAGACCCCAUAGAGACCCCAUAGAGACCCUGUAAAGACCCCAUAGAGACCCCACAGAGUCCCCAAAGACCUCACACCCCAUAGAGACUCCAUAGAGACCCCGUAAAGACCCCAUGGUGCCCCCCAAUCCCUCAGGCCCCAUAGAGACCCCAUAGAGACACCAUAGAGACCCCAUAGAGACCCCAUAGAGACCCCAUGGUGCCCCCCAAUCCCUCAGGCCCCAUAGAGACCCCAUAGAGACACCAUAGAGACCCCAUAGAGACCCCAUGGUGCCCCCCAAUCCCUCAGGCCCCAUAGAGACCCCAUAGAGACACCAUAGAGACCCCAUAGAGACCCCAUAGAGACCCCAUAGUGCCCCCCAAAGCCCUCAGGCCCCAUAGAGACCCCAUAGAGACACCAUAGAGACCCCAUAGAGAUCCCAAAGCCCUCAGACCCCAUGGAGACCCCAUAGUGCCCCCCAAGCCCUCAGACCCCAUAGAGACCCCAUAGAGAACCCCUAUGGGGUUAGCAUUAAGAUUAAGGUUUUGGGGUGGGGGGUGCAGCACCCCACAUCUUGAC
ensembl:lncRNA